ACCAAGUACCCCUUCCUCUGAAGGUUCCAUGGACCGUUUGGGUGUUGUCGAAAGAGAAUCUGUUCAACCUAUUUAAAAUAUACAUUUGAAUUGCUUGUUUCCUAGAUUUGUGGUCCGUACGAGUCCUUAACUUUUCCAUCUACAUAUUGCAUGUAAUUAGGUCGUUAGUUUUUGAAACAUGAAGGCUCCCUGCUUGCAUUAUUAUAUAGUACUGCGCCUAAACUCUAGGAAGCUUUGAAGGCCUUAUGAUAUUCUGCCUUUCAUAGAGAAGAACUGUGUGGUUAUCUUAGCAGUGGAAGGACCCAUUGGUUGGCAAGGAAAGGAUCCAUCAACACAUUUUAGAAAUUCAACGGUCUGAGUCAUGAAUAUGUAUAUUUCAUGAUGAACCUUUCCACUCCAACAAUCUGUAAGUUCUUCAUGGGGGUGUAAGAGAAAACUUUCCCCGUAAGAAUCUCUUGGUCUUCAUUCAUAGUGUCAGUUAGUGGUUCAAAACUUAUUUAUCUUUUGUCUACAUGUAUAUUGAUAGGUCUUUGGCAAUGAGACAAAAUUCAGAACCUUGGAAAAGGUUAAUGGGCAGAAGUUUCUGUAAAGAUUCUAAUUUGACCAAGGCAUUGGAGACAUAUAUGUGGAUUAUGUUAUUACACAAAGUGCAAAUGUUGCUGUAGGCUCUGAAUAUGGGUGGCAAAACUUAUACCUGUAAAGAAGCUAGUUGAUGCUAAUGACCAAGGUAUGCUCUCUUGUUCGAUCAAAUCAUUUCAAUGUUCAAACUGACAAAAUUAUUUUGAAAUGCUAACUUCAGUAUG